UGGAGUGAAGCAGAUGGCAAAAGUUUUGUUAUGUUCAAAGAAAACAUAACAGGAUGAACUUUGACGCUGCUAGGAGUGGGAGAGAAAGAAAAGAAAAGCGCUCAGAUCUGAGCCUCCUGAACAGCUGGGAUUACAGGCGUGAGCUGCUGGCACCCACUAGAAGAUGUUUUGACAAUUAAAAUGUGAUGAGGAAAAACUAUAGAAAUGAGAUGGGGUUGUGUUGAGAAACAGAACUGCUCUGAAAAUGGAAAAGGAAACUAAUUAGUGUUGGGCAGAGUGCUUUCCUGUGCCUGGAAAAGGCUCUUCGGCAGUACCAUUUGAGCAGCUCCAUCAUAAGUUAAGAAAAAUGUUACAACAUGGUCUUCGUUGGAAAUACGUAGUUAAUAUCCUACAAAACAUUUAUUACUAUUUAUAUAAUAAUAUAAAGUAAGAUAAAUUAUAUAUAAUAUAAAUUAUACUAAUAAAAAUUAUACAUUAUAUAAAAUUAUAUAAAUUAAAAUCAUCUAUAAUAUAAAUUGUAUUUAUAUCAACAAAUUUAAUCAUAGGAUUUAUAAUUAAAUUAAUUAUAAUCAAUGUGAUCCUAUAUUUUUAUAUAUUACAAAGGUAUAACAUUAGUAUGCUAUAUAUUGUAAUAUCAAUUAUAAUACGUAAUGUACAUAGUAUAUACUAUCUAUAACAUGUUAUA